rnacentral:sRNA from 1 species
CCAUCUACAACCGCACAGAUAAGGUUUACAAAAGAUUUAUCUUACCUUAAUGGCGAGUCUUAGUUUAUA